rnacentral:rRNA from 1 species
UACGUAGGUGGCAAGCGUUGUCCGGAGUUAUUAGGGCGUGAAACGCGCGCAGGCGGUGCGGUAAGUCUAUGGUGAAAGCGCCUCGGCUUAACUGGGCGAGGCCGUGGAGACUGCCGGACUGGAGGGGAGCAGAGGCGAGUGGAAUUCCGGGUGUAGUGGUGAAAUGCGUAGAGAUCCGGAGGAACACCAGUGGCGAAGGCGGAGCU